AUUGAACGCUGGCGGCAGGCUUAACACAUGCAAGUCGAGCGGAGAUGAGGUGCUUGCACCUUAUCUUAGCGGCGGACGGGUGAGUAAUGCUUAGGAAUCUGCCUAUUAGUGGGGGACAACAUUCCGAAAGGAAUGCUAAUACCGCAUACGCCCUACGGGGGAAAGCAGGGGAUCUUCGGACCUUGCGCUAAUAGAUGAGCCUAAGUCGGAUUAACUAGUUGGUGGGGUAAAGGCCUACCAAGGCGACGAUCUGUAGCGGGUCUGAGAGGAUGAUCCGCCACACUGGGACUGAGACACGGCCCAGACUCCUACGGGAGGCAGCAGUGGGGAAUAUUGGACAAUGGGCGGAAGCCUGAUCCAGCCAUGCCGCGUGUGUGAAGAAGGCCUUUUGGUUGUAAAGCACUUUAAGCGAGGAGGAGGCUAUCUGGAUUAAUACUCUAGGAUAGUGGACGUUACUCGCAGAAUAAGCACCGGCUAACUCUGUGCCAGCCGCCGCCGUAAUAC
rnacentral:rRNA from 1 species